AGAAAGAAAGACGAAGAAAGCGAAAGACAAAGAGCAUUUUCAAAACUUCAAACUCUUGAAAAAAUUUCACAGAGAGAGGGCUCUCUCUCUCUCUAUCUAUCUCUUCUCUCUCUCUCUCUCAUCUCUCUCGCUGAAACCCUAGCGCGUUCACGGAAUUCUUUUUGCCUUAUAAGCAAACAUUCCGGCAAUCCUAAACUUCCUCCGCCGGGAAUAUCUUAUGAAUCGCAGUCGGAAAACACUCUGUUCUAUCAAUUUAGCUAAGCUAGGGUUUCAGUUAGAUACAGGAUUCAGAGAUCUCUCUAUCUCAUAACUCAACUAAUUAACCGAUUUUUGAUUUCUUUUUUAAUUUUUUCUAAUUAAGCAUCGUAACUGCCGCCGAACCUGGAAACGGUUACCGGCUACCGGAUCCCUAAUUGCGAUGGCGAGGGGAGGUCAGUGUUUCGAGAAGCUUCGGAGGUGUGUUCGGACGGUUUUUUUCGUAGCGGCAUUGGUGGUGUCGCUGCUGGUGACGUCAUUGCCGGUACUCGUGGCGGUUGUUGAUGUGAUUGUACCUUGCGUUUUGAUUUCGAGCUUCACGUGCGUUAGGUGCUACGGUUUCAAGGAGCAUUUGAGUCGAUAUUCUUUUAAGAGUUCAUUGACGGAUAUUCCUCUUGUUUCGGUUAUAAGAUCCUUCAUCAUUAUCUGUGUUUAUUCAAUUUGUGAUGGUCCUGCUCUCUCACAUGGUCCUUAUCUUGGAACAGUGACUCUGUCUUCCUUUGUUUCAAUUGUUGUCCUUUCAGUCAAAGCUUGUGUUUUCACUGUUAAUUCUCAGAUUGAAGGGGAAGCUUCGGGUUCCCUUGCGAGGAAGAUACUUCAUUUGAAGAAGUCAUGGGGAAUGCCUAUCUUAUUUCUCUCGUCAGUUGUGUUUGCCCUCGGCCAUGUUGUGGUUGCUUAUAGAACCAGCUGCAGAGCAAGGAGAAAGCUUAUGUUUCAUCGAGUUGAUCCUGAAGCGGUCCUUUCAUGCAAAAAUGUUUUCUCUAGCUAUCAGAAGGCCCCACGCUCUCCUAUUCCUUCCGGGGGGAGAACCCCAAAAAGUGACAGUGAAAUGAAGCGGAAGCCAUUUGGAGCAGCUCGUGAUGAAGAAGUGCCAGUCAGAUUACUUGCAGAAUCAGACAGCUUGUUCAUCACCUGCCAAGGUCUUACUCUCCAUUACAAGCUAAGCCUCCCUGGCUCACCUCCUUCACUUAGCUUGUCCUCAUCAUCCUUCGUCGAACCUAGUUCUGUUUGCUACACUUCAUCAAUGUCUGGGGGGCUAUCGAAAUUUAAUAGGCAAUUGCCAUACGUCUCUUCAAAAAUCCAGCGACAACUCUACAGGACUUAUAGCAAUCAAUUCAAUGACUCAUCUUUAUAUGCUCCUCUUUUAUAUGGUCCAGUAACUUCUCCCCCUCUUUCCGAAGAUAUCCCUGUUUUGCAUCUUGAUGAAAUUGGUGAAUAUGAUGAAACCGUUAAAUCAGAUACUCUGUCUUUGGAUCAAAAGUUAGAGGGCAUGGGCCAAGUCGGUAUUGUUUUAAUACAUGGGUUUGGUGGUGGAGUCUUCUCUUGGCGGCACAUAAUGAAUUCUCUCGCUCGGCAGAGUAAUUGCACGGUUGCUGCAUUUGAUAGGCCUGGUUGGGGAUUGACUUCAAGGCUGCGGCGGGAGGACUGGGAGAAAACAGAACUGCCUAAUCCUUAUAAACUUGAAACUCAGGUUGACCUGCUUUUGUCUUUCUGUUCGAACAUUGGAUUUUCUUCAGUUGUGCUAAUUGGUCACGAUGAUGGAGGGUUGCUUGCUUUGAUGGCUGCACAAAGAGUUCAAACGUCAAUGAAUUCUUUCAACGUUACAGUGAAAGGGGUUGUAUUGCUAAAUGUUAGCUUGUCUAGGGAAGUAGUUCCUUCCUUUGCCAGAAUCCUUCUGCAUACCUCACUUGGAAAGAAGCAUUUGGUUCGGCCGCUACUAAGAACCGAAAUCACUCAAGUGAUCAAUAGGCGGUCGUGGUAUGAUGUUACCAAACUGACAACGGAUGUUUUGACUCUCUAUAGGCUCCGCUAUAUGUAGAAGGAUGGGAUGAAGCAGUUCAUGAAAUUGGUAAAUUGUCAUCUGAAAACGUCCUUUCUGCAAAAAAUGCAGAAUCAUUGCUACAAGAUGUAAAAGGGGUUUCAUUGUUGGUCAUAGCUGGUACUGAAGAUUCACUAGUUUCUCUUAAAUCUUGUCAAGCGAUGGCAUCAAAAUUUGUGAAUUCUAGACUGGUUGCAAUCUCAGGAUGUGGUCAUCUACCUCAUGAAGAAUGUCCAAAAGCGUUGCUUGCAGCUGUAUUACCCUUCAUCGGUAAACUGUGCUCUGUAAAUAACUUGCAAAGUCAGUAGGUCAUCUCUUUUCCAGUUUAUACAUAAGUCAAUCCAUUGUAGGGUGCUUUUCCUUCCCAUGUCCUCUUUUAUUUCAUCUUUCCUUUAUUUGCUUUUUAUGCAAUAUUUACUUACUUCAAGAGAAAGAGAUCAAAGGCAUCAUCUCUUCUCUUGGGUAUUUUUGAUGUGCCAGUUUUAUUUUAACCCUUUUAUUUUUUUUAGCUGUUAAUAGUUGAGCUGCUUGUCGCUUCGCACUAAAAGAAAGUGGGAAGUGGAUGACAUAAUUUGUAAAUUUAUCAUGAGUUUGAUAAUGAAUAUAAUUAGCAUGGUUGUUUCCAGCUGCUGGAUGUUUAUCAUUCCGACCUUUAUGCAGCACUUCAAA